rnacentral:lncRNA from 10 species
GCUGAUGUCCUAAAGCACAGACACUCUCCUGACAAAGGCAGGGACAGCGUUCAAGCAUCUGACUCGAGCCUGUGGAGGGCAGGCAGUGUGACCCAGAGGAAAGAGAACUGUGCUGGGAUCUGGCCCUAGCUGCUCAUUAGAAUCAUAUUACACUUACCUAUGCCUGCCCCACCCCAGAGAUUCUGAUUUAAAUAAUCUGUGUCGAGGCCCAAACAGGACUGAUUUUUAAAAACUUUUUAUUAAAGUUCAGUAUACCCACAAAAAAGUGCAACUUUCACAUAUGUACAGCCCAGUACAUUUUCACAGACUGGACACACCCAACAUCUGAAUAUUACAAGCACCUCAAGAGCUCCCACCACCCACCACCUCCUGCCAGGGGUGACCACUCUCCUGACUGCUAGCAGGACAGGUUCCUUUGAACUUCAUGUGAAUGAAAUCAUUGCGUCUCGUUUCAUUUAACAACACAUUGCGAGACCUGCCCAUAUUGUUUCAUGGAGUUGUAGAUUGUUAUUUUAAUUGCUGUGUAGUAUUCCAUGCUAUGAAUAUAUCACAAUUUAUUCAUUCUACUGUUGAUGGACAUCUGGGUGGUUCCCAGUUUUGGGCGAUGAUGAAGAGUGUAGCUAUGAACAUUCUAGUACAUGUCUUUUGGUAAAUAUUCAUACUCCUUUCUCUUGGGUAUACACCUAGGAUGGGGAUCACUGGGUCAGAGUUUAGGUCUUCUUUCAACUUGAGUGAAACUGUCACAUGGCUUUCCAAAGUUGUGUCAGUUUGCACUCCCAUCAACCAGGCAUAAGAGUUCCAGUCACUCUAUAUCCUUACCAACAAUUGGUAGAUUCCAUCUUUUUUCUUUUUUUUUUUGAGAUGGAGUCCUGCUCUGUUGCCCAGGCUGAAGCGCAGUGGUGAGAUCUCGACUCACUGCAACCUCCACCUUCUGGAUUCAAGCGAUUCUCUUGCCUCGGCCUCCCAAGUAGCUAGGAUUACAGGUGCCCACCACCACGCCCAGCUAUUUUUUUUGUAUUUUUAGUAGAGAUGGGGUUUCACCAUGUUGGCCAGGCUGGUAUCGAACUCCUGACCUCAGGUGAUCUGCCCGCUUCAGCCUCCCAAAGUGCUGGGAUUACAGACGCGAGCCACCGCACCCAGCCUCCAUCUUUUUUCAUAUUAUCUAUUUUGAUGGGCAUCCGUGGCAUCUUGUUGCAGUUUUAAUCUGCACACCCCUGAUGACAAAUUACGGUGAGCAUUUGAGCAGCCCUGGCCUCAGUGAUCUCUGGAGCCUUUCCGGGGUCCCUAACUUUGCACAAGGCCCACCAGCUACCCUGGGAACAGCCCUCCAGGGAGGGUUUUUGUGGGGAAACAAAGGGAAUAGAAGGGGAAUAAAAAUGCAGAGGCAGAAACUAUGCAACUGAUCAACCUGCAAGGGAGUGGGAAGAAGAAUGUGGCCACCACAGGAAAGCCCCAGGACUCACACCUGGAACCAAGAAGGAGGGAAGGAGAGUGGAGGAGGAAGAGCCAGCCAAGAGC